rnacentral:rRNA from 1 species
AACGAACGCUGGCGGCAUGCCUAACACAUGCAAGUCGAACGAGACCUUCGGGUCUAGUGGCGCACGGGUGCGUAACGCGUGGGAAUCUGCCCCUCGGUUCGGAAUAACAGUUAGAAAUGACUGCUAAUACCGGAUGAUGACUUCGGUCCAAAGAUUUAUCGCCGAGGGAUGAGCCCGCGUAAGAUUAGGUAGUUGGUGGGGUAAAGGCCUACCAAGCCGACGAUCUUUAGCUGGUCUGAGAGGAUGAUCAGCCACACUGGGACUGAGACACGGCCCAGACUCCUACGGGAGGCAGCAGUGGGGAAUAUUGGACAAUGGGCGAAAGCCUGAUCCAGCAAUGCCGCGUGAGUGAUGAAGGCCUUAGGGUUGUAAAGCUCUUUUACCAGGGAUGAUAAUGACAGUACCUGGAGAAUAAGCUCCGGCUAACUCCGUGCCAGCCGCCGCAGUAACAC